UGGCGGACGGGUGAGUAACGCGUGGAAAACCUGCCGUAUACUGGGGGAUAACACUUAGAAAUAGGUGCUAAUACCGCAUAAGCGCUCAGCUUCGCAUGAAGCGGUGUGAAAAACUCUGGUGGUAUACGAUGGUUCCGCGUCUGAUUAGCUAGUUGGUGGGGUAAUGGCCUACCAAGGCAACGAUCAGUAGCCGGCCUGAGAGGGUGAACGGCCACAUUGGGACUGAGACACGGCCCAAACUCCUACGGGAGGCAGCAG
rnacentral:rRNA from 1 species